CAGGAAUCCGGUGCGAAUCCGGAACGGUCCCGCCACUGUCAGCCCCCGUACGCCGAGCGCGUCGCGGGCGAGUCAGGAACUG
rnacentral:ncRNA from 2 species